rnacentral:rRNA from 1 species
AUCUCUGUAGAGUCUGCAUAUCAAUAAGCGGAGGAAAAGAAACUAACAAGGAUUCCCCUAGUAACGGCGAGUGAAGCGGGAAGAGCUCAAAUUUGAAAUCUUAAAGGGUUUCCCUUUACGAAUUGUAGUUUAAAGAAGUGUUUUCUGUUGAGGUUUUGGUAAAAGUUCUUUGGAAUAGGACAUCAUAGAGGGUGAGAAUCCCGUAUUUGACCUUUACUUUCAACUUUGUGAUACACUUUCAAAGAGUCGGAUUGUUUGGGAAUGCAGUCCAAAAUGGGUGGUAAAUUUCAUCUAAAGCUAAAUAUUGGCGAGAGACCGAUAGCGAACAAGUACCGUGAGGGAAAGAUGAAAAGAACUUUGAAAAGAGAGUUAAACAGUACGUGAAAUUGUCAAAAGGGAAGCGUUUGACACCAGUGUUGUUUUUCUGAAAAUCAAUUAAAGAACUGUUUAUGCUAAGUUGUUUAGACUUUAUCAGCUAACUGUUUAGUUUUGAGCUUUUCUUUAAUGCACUUUUCAGUUAACAAGUCAACAUCAAUUUCUUUUGCUGUAAAAAAGCUUGAGGAAGGUGGCUUGAGAUUCGUCUUAAGUGUUUAUAGCCUCUUGCCUAUGCAGUCGGAGAAGAUUGAGGUCUGCAGCGUAGAUCCUUCGGGGCUAAAUGCAUUUGUGCUAAGUUAUAGCAUUUUAUAGACAACUUGUUGACUAUGAUUUAGUCUUGUAGCUUACUCGCUUAUGUUAUUUUACCUACGCUUAGGAUGUUGACGAUCAGCUGAGCGCG